GAAGAAGGCAAAGCAAAGGCUGGUACGCUACAAUAAGUUAAAUAAAAUCACUCUUUAAACUGAAAUCGUAUCCAAUUGAAAUUGAGCAGGCAUACGUCUUAGUACAAGCUUCCAGGCAUUAAACACAAUGCGUAUUUCCGUAUCACAAUUGGAGUUGUUGUCUGAGCAAAUUCAGUUGAAAGCUCCAUCAUUUGUGGUCACUACCAUCAAUCAAAACAAGCACAUCCACGCGCAUUUAUAUCCAAUGGUGUUUAUUUACACCUUAGAAGUACCUUCGAAUGUUCAUAAAACUUUGAUACUUUGUACAUACCCAGCAAGAAAACGUACAUUUUACGAACUUUUUAUCCACGACUUUUUAUCCAGUUUCUCUUCAAGAAAAUAUCCAGU